UACGUAGGCGGAAAAUUAAGUCAGUAGUGAAAUCCUGCAGCUUAACUGUAGAACUGUUAUUGAUACUGGUUUUCUUGAAUACAGUUGAGGUAGGCGGAAUGUGUAAUGUAGCGGUGAAAUGCUUAGAUAUUACACAGAACACCGAUUGCGAAGGCAGCUUACUAAGCUAUGAUUGACGCUGAGGUACGAAAGCGUGGGGAGCGAACAGGAUUAGAUACCCUGGUAGUCC
rnacentral:rRNA from 1 species